rnacentral:rRNA from 1 species
UUUGAGCAAUGGAGGGACGCAGUAGGCUAAGGAAUGCAUGCGAUUGGAAGUGCAUGUCCAAGCAAUGAGUCUUGAGUAGAGUUAAAUGCUUUACUCUUUAAGGACAAGUUGUGACGGGGAGCGAAAUAAUAGUAGCGAAGUUCCUGAUGUCACACUGCCAAGAAAAGCUUCUAGUGAGAAAACAACUGCCCGUACCGUAAACCGACACAGGUAGUCGAGGAGAGUAUCCUAAGGUGAGCGAGCGAACUCUCGUUAAGGAACUCGGCAAAAUGACCCCGUAACUUCGGGAGAAGGGGUGCUGACUUCGGUCAGCCGCAGUGAAUAGGCCCAAGCGACUGUUUAUCAAAAACACAGGUCUCUGCAAAAUCGUAAGAUGAAGUAUAGGGGCUGACGCCUGCCCGGUGCUGGAAGGUUAAGAGGAUGGGUUAGCUUCGGCGAAGCUCAGAAUUGAAGCCCCAGUAAACGGCGGCCGUAACUAUAACGGUCCUAAGGUAGCGAAAUUCCUUGUCGGGUAAGUUCCGACCCGCACGAAAGGCGUAACGAUUUGGGCACUGUCUCAACGAGAGACUCGGUGAAAUUUUAGUACCUGUGAAGAUGCAGGUUACCCGCGACAGGACGGAAAGACCCCAUGGAGCUUUACUGUAGUUUGAUAUUGAGUGUUUGUACCACAUGUACAGGAUAGGUAGGAGCCGAUGAGACCGGAACGCUAGUUUCGGAGGAGGCGCUGGUGGGAUACUACCCUUGUGUUAUGAA